GGCGCUGUGGCCAAGGCACUAGACUUUCAAGCAUGAAGUCCUGAGUUCAAUCCCCAGCAGCACCA
rnacentral:tRNA from 1 species